rfam:Gossypium raimondii Chr10_contig_44, whole genome shotgun sequence.
UCUUCAAAAUUCCGUUCAUUUUUACCAUUAAAAACUGGUUUGACUGAUAGAAUAAUUACACAAUUACACGUGGCGAGCCAUAUGCAACUUAUUUUGAAGUAUAGUGACUAGUUUUUAAUAGUAGAAAUAGAUGAAAUUUUUAAAA